ensembl:misc_RNA 7SK 7SK RNA
GGAUGUGAGGGCAAUCUGGAUGUGACGUCAUCACUCCGUUGAUCUCCAGGAUUGAUUUGGGUGAUCUGGCUGGCUAGCCAGCUGUUCCCCAUGUGCCUCCCCCUCCACUGAAGCUUCCUGCUCCUCCAGUAGAGGAGGACUGUUUUCUUUGUCAAGGAUACACCGGUAGCUAUGCUUCCCUCUUAGAAUCUCCAAACAAGCUCUCAAGAUAAAUUACUAAGACUCGUAUUUGUGGAGGAGUAUUUGCUAGACUUGUUUGUGUUUGAU